GUGGGGAAUAUUGGGCAAUGGGCGAAAGCCUGACCCAGCAACGCCGCGUGAAGGAAGAAGGUCUUCGGAUCGUAAACUUCUAUCCUUGGUGAAGAUAAUGACGGUAGCCGAGAAGGAAGCCCCGGCUAACUACGUGCCAGCAGCCGCGGUAAUACGUAGGGGGCAAGCGUUGUCCGGAAUGAUUGGGCGUAAAGGGCGCGUAGGCGGCCUGGUAAGUCUGGAGUGAAAGUCCUGCUUUUAAGGUGGGAAUUGCUGUGGAUACUGUCGGGCUUGAGUGCAGGAGAGGUAAGUGGAAUUCCCGGUGUAGCGGUGAAAUGCGUAGAGAUCGGGAGGAACACCAGUGGCGAAGGCGACUUACUGGACUGUAACUGACGCUGAGGCGCGAAAGUGUGGGGAGCAAACAGGAUUAGAUACCCUAGUAGUCC
rnacentral:rRNA from 1 species